rnacentral:lncRNA from 1 species
UUAUAGAAAAAAAAAGAGUUUUUCUGCUUUCGGCAUGUUUACAUUUAUUUCAAAUCAACUAUAUAAAAGUGAAAAAGUUACAAGUGAAAGACGAUCGGUAGUAGACGUGAGUAUGACAAUACAAUUGGCUGCUGUGUCAACAGUAGUGGCCUUUGGAGAUAUAAUAAAACAAACUGUGAAGCAGCAAAAACAAAAGUAAUACAAGUAGGUCAAGGGCCACCAUUGGUAACACAUAUACAGUGUGUUCCACAAUUAAUUCGACAAAAGCUAUUUUUGUAUUUGGUAUCUGUACGAUAUUUUCCAAUUAAAUUUGCAAAAGUAUAACCUUAAGGCCUUCAAAUCUUAGCUAACACGCAAUAAGUGCAUAUUUUUAACAAAAACGAGCAAUUUUGAUAAAAUAAUUGACAUUUUGAUGCUAGAUGUAAUCCCUUAGCUUUUGUCAAAUUAAUUUUGGGGCAGCCUGUAUAUACAACUCAUUACAUACAUCACAAAAAUAUAUAGUAUAUAUAGAUAUAUGUUUAUAAACAUGUAUAAAACUUAUGACAUUUAUAGUGAAAAUAAAUAGUGUUCAUUACCCACCAAUUUAGGACAUUUAAAGUAUUAUUAAAAAUCUCUUUUAAGUAGCAAAAAAAUAUCAUAUAUAUUAAAAGGUUCGCUUACAUCAGGCAAUAUAAUUUUGACAUAAGCAGUUCUUAUUUAGAUUGGUCACCCGAGAGCUUCUAUCACGGGUCUCGGCGCCGGGUUGGUCCAGAUGGGGGUUGAAAUACAUUUAAAAUGCAAAUUCGUUACAAAGGCAGACAAUUUUAUGAGUUACUACUCUAAUAUUUAAGGAACUUUUUCUUUCUCAUUCCCUCUUUAUACUAAUUUCAGAAUUGGAGGGGGAGGCGCUAAUGGCAGUGGUCAGAGCUGGCACCCAUUACAACUGUACAGAAAUAUCUGAAACCACGAAGGUCACACAGGUAGAAAAUCAAGGAGAGAGGACUUCAAUUGAACGCGUUGGUGCAAAGAGUAAACAUUUUUAAAAUGCAUUGUGCACGAAGUCAGCGGUUUUGCGAUAUUGCCGGGUAAAAUCGUCUAAUAGUUGUUUAUUUAGAAUAUAUUUAAUGUUUUUUUAAUAAACAUGAAUAUAAGAAGUGCCGUGAAAUAUAGGACACUAAGUCCACAAUCCCGUGAAAUUAUACACAAUGUUUAAAAUUUACGCAGAGAAGAUUUUACUGUGAAACAGGUAACAAAUUAAAACCGAGAAACCUUUGAAGCAUGAUUGAUCUGACAACGUCGCGUAACCACGUUUUCGAUCUGUCUGACCGUGGCGGUUUCAGAUAUUUGUGUAGACUUGUACACAUUAGUCUCUCCGCGCCCGUUCUGUCGCCUCCAAGAAACUUUUUUAAUGUAGGCACGAAAUACCGUACAAAGAUGCGAAAUAGAAUAAAACUUAAGAUAAUUGAGCAAAAGAAAUUUCGAAUAAGUCAUGAAAGAAUGUGAAUUCCUUAAUAUUCAUUAUGAGUAGCAAUACGAGCGAAAAUCGAUUUCAAAAUUGAACACAAUCAUUUUACUAAAUCCAACAAUAUUUUUCUUAAUUUUAUGACAACAAAAACAUCGAUAUUUACAUUAAAUGGAAUUAGAACAACAUUAUUUGUUUUUGAUUUUUUUUCUUUUUUUUAACAAAAUAAAUAUUGUUAAAAUCAAAUAUUUUAUCGAUCACAGACGGUUCAGUUGAAGUCUUAACGCUAUAUGUCUAUGCAGAUUGUUAUGUGCGCAAAUAUUAACUAAAAACAAACAAAAGAGGGAAUUUUUAGGACCAAUAUGUUUUUGAAAUCCCUUUGAAAGUUUUUUUGAAAUGGAAUAGAAGAGCUACAUAGACAAUUAAAGUUACUUAACGCUAAUUGACAUAGUCACUUGUUGGAUUUUGUAAAAGAUUAAACCAGAGUAAUAAAUAAUUUAGAAAUCAAUAUUGAUCGACUGAUACAUAUUCUGUCUAAUUGAUGGACGAUUUCAUACAUAAACAAUACUGAUGGCUUGUCGGGGUAAUACAUAAAGUUAUAGUAUAUAUGGCAAUGGUACAUUACAUCUAUGGUUUUGAUCAGCAACAACUCAGAUUCAUGCUAGUGCCUAAAACAACCAUAUCACUACAAUCGUCGGAUUCAUUUUAAAACAAAUGAAUCCGAAAAAUUCCAACAUAGAAGAAAUUCUAUAAACUCAGCAAAAAUAAAAUUCGAAUAACUCUAAUACUAAGGCCUAACACACUAUAUGUUACAAAGGACACCUCACAUAUCUUGUCGAAAAUAUUAUGUCAUUCAAAUGCAAUCAAAUUUACAUGAAUAGACUGCGCCAACUCUGAAUUUUGAUUAAAAACGGCGUAAAUUUAUAUAAAUAAAUCUAAAAUCAAAUGGUUAUAUACGUAAGUUAGAGUGAGAAAAGAUAUUUUGUGAAUUAGUAGUUCAUAAAAAUCUUUCUGCAAAUGAUUGUACUUUAGAGACGAAUCUAUUCAUGUAAAUUUUAUUGAAUUUGAGUGACAUUAAAUUUUUCAUAAGAUGUGUGCUGUGUCCUUUGCACCUGGCAUAACAAAAGCAUAAAUUGCCAAAUUAUUUAUAUUUUAUUUAUUUAUUUAAACGAUUUAUAAUCGUUUCUUCAAGAAAACAAUUCUUAAUAAUAGUUUUUUGGUAAGGACAAAACAGUUGAAGGUUUCGUUAGGAUAAGUUAUAGGCUAGACUGUUGUGCAUGUUCAUAUAAUUUCUUUAUCCAAUUUAAAAUAAAGCAACAAUAAAAAAAAGUAGUACAAAAAGUCUUAUAAUGUUACAAUUGUCAAGGUGUAGAUGAAGCAGAGUCGCCACUGAUACAUAUAUUAUGAUAAAAUCCCAUAAACAGUAAACAAAUAACACGCAUUCUACAAUAAAAUAUAAGAAGAAAUAAAAAAAAAACAUCCUAGCCAACCCUAAAACACAACGAUCGACUAUACUGACUAGGAAUAACUACAAACAUAAAAAAAAUGUAUUAGCAGACCAAGCAGUGUUUCAGCAGACUAGUUGGAUAACCAGCAUCAAGUACAAAAAUGGAGUGAGGUUUAGAAAGAAACAAAAAACAACUGAAGAAUUUUGGGAAAUUACUUUUCCAUUGUUGCCACAAACAAUGUUGAGCGUUAGCUACUUUUCCCAGCAUAUCUUGGUGUAUUCAGAUAUACUGGUUCGACUGAAGGAAUAUAAUUAUGUCAUCUGGUUACUCUUUGGUAAGUUAUUGUCUUCCUAGAGGAUCUUAAACCAAUUUUCGUUCCAACCCAAGGAAUACCGCACCACCAAGCUACUGACAUUUCUCCUUUGAAAUGACAUAGAUUGCUACGGCAAGUGUUUUUGUUUUUAUUAUUGGCUUAUAGUUAUCCGAGUUUAUCUUUUGUAGUGCUGCCUGGUCCACGUAGCGGAUAUCAGUGUAAACAGGAGUUUAUGUAACAGCCCUCACCCUUUUGGGAGCGCUAUAUACACUCUUACAGCCUUUCGGCAUAAUCACAGUGACGCUUUGAAGAGCCAUCUACAGCACAGCUUGUCUAGAACUACAACUUACAACUAAUAGUCCGUAAACUAGGUAAAUUGCUUUAAUUUCUUUAAAAUAUCAGCAUUUAUAUCCUUAAAACCUACAUUUACAGUAUAAAAAAUUAAAAGCUAUAUAACAUGCAUUAAGUCAGGACAAGUCGCUCUAACAUUUUUGCAAAACUAAACAAAAUACGAAGAGGUCUUAAUCAAAGAACAGGGAAAGAAAAUUCAAUAAAGUGUUGAAAGAAUUUGGUUAGUACGUUCAUUUAAAUGUUAUAGAAGAUAUCGUUAUAUUUUAACUAAGAAUUUGAUUUAAAAUUGAAUGUUUUCGUUGCCUAUUCUUCGUUAGAAUGUAAAUGUUAUUAGAAAGUAAAGCAUAGACCAUAUAAAUGUUUAUGUAAAGACUGGUCCUGAACUGUAUUUACAGAUCUCAGGUGCGGGGCUGAUCGGCACACGUCCAGCUUUCGCGCACCGGGCUAUUCUAACUACGGAGAUCAUUUGAAAACCUUUAGGGCCGCAAAGAGACUCUUUACGGCUCCUUCCACUUAAACUUAAAACAGAGUCAGACUCUAGCGAAAGCUAUCAAAGAGACGACGCGCCCACCUCUAGAGCUGGCAGUUACGGUUACUCACUGAGAACGUUUCAGUCGCGCUCCUGUGAAACAGCAUCAGAAAAAAUAUUGGAAAGUAGCAACGUGUGAGUAUAUUCCCUAAUCCUAAUAAUUUUCCAAUAAACUAAGUCUUAUUCUAUGAAACAGGUUAAGAAUGCCACAAAAAUAUACAGGGACGCAACUGAACCGUUUGUUUAGAAAACUUGCUCUUGGCCGUUUGGCACGAUUCAAUCUUUGGCUAUACUGAAUCCAACUUAAAAUUUUAUAUACAAUUCAUGUACAAUCAUAAAAACUACCAAAAAA